CCGGGAGGGCGUGAUGCCGGGGCUGAAGUUUGAGUCUAUUUUUGCGUCGAAAAGCAAGGAGAGGUUGUGUUUUUCUGAUGCGUUGAAAUAGCAGCCCCUAACUGCAGAUGUCUCUCUCCGUGGGACAGCAAAGUGUUAAAACAGCAAACGGAAAACUCCCCAAAUGCCCGCAACCCAGUGGCCCAAAGUGGUGGGGAAGUCACAGAGACACUCAGCGGUCAUCUGCCAGCCCUUGCCUACCCCCCGCCCCCUUUUCCAUUUUUAAAGUAUGUUUUUAUUCCCGGAACAAGCAGUCCAAGAUGCUUAUCAGGGCAGGAAACCCAGUGUCAGGACCCCUAGCCCUGGGGUGGAUAAAUACCACCUCAUCCCCACCCCCCAGGUAGUACAAAUUUGUCUCUCUGUUACCGCAAAGUGGGACAUUGCAGAACUGCCAUCCAUCCCUCUGACCCAAGCAGAUUGACCUCCCUGGGUGACUGGCCACUAUGGGAUCUCUUCCCCGGCUCUUUUAGAUCCUUUGUGCUGUGUAAUAAAGUGCUCAUUUGCUGAAA